AGGCUCCCAAGACCCCAGGUCUAAGCAAAUGUUCCCUAUUCACUAUAUUACUUGUCUGUUCUCCCGACCAACCUGAGUUCCUCCAGAAGGAGGCUGGCGAAGCUUUGGCAAUGUUUGCUGAGUGAAUAUAUUUGCUGGCCCUGUCCCAGGCAGCGGGGCUGGUGUGGUGAGCAAAUCACAUGAGGCCUGUGUUCUCACGGAGCUUCAGGUCAAUGACAGGGAGAGGAAGAACCCAAAGUCACACAGCGGCCAAGUGCCAGUGAGGGGGGAUCAUCACGCUCUGAUCAUGCAGAAUAGGGGCUCCUGAUCGGGAAGCCAUCUCUGACUAGCAGGAGAAGCCACGGUGAGAGCAUGCUAGGCAGGGUGCAGCAUGUGCAAAGGUCCUGUGGACAGAGACAAAAGCCCUAAGAGACUAGAGCACAGGGAGCCAAGAAGGCAGACAGGGGGGCUCGGGAACUGAGGGCUUGCUGACCACACUAGGUGUGGUGAGAGGCAUCCCAUAUUUUAAACAAGAGGGAUAGUAUGAUUUGCUUUCCCUUUUAAAGAAUCACUCUAGCUGUGGUCUGGCAGACAUUUGGAGGGGUGGGUGGAUGUGGGAGGCCAACUGGAUAGUAAGCUGUCCAGGUGAGAGUUAAUGGUCACUUGGACUGUGGCGGCAGUGGAGAUGAAUGAAGCGAUGGCCUUGGGAGAUACAAGUGGAGAGAAUGGCCCUGAUCAUGGAUGGGAUAUGGAGGGUGAGGGAGGAGGUGCAAGGAUGUCUCUAGCAUGUGCUGCUGGCCAAAGGCAGACCCUUCACUGAGGUGAACAGAUGAACCCCUGCAAUUUGGCCAUGUCUGGGCCUCACAGUUAGCCAUUGUAUAUCUUUCCACAUCUCAUAAUUUUUGUGAAUAAGGAAACGGAGGCUUGGUUCCACUAGAAGGCCCCACCUGGGGAGCCAGGUCUCUGAUCUGCUCACCCCCAUCCUACCUGGCACCCAUCUGUGGCAAGAGGUAAACAGGUCUAGCCCCUGAGGCAGAGUCCGGGGCUUCUCAGGAGAUGGGAUGAGUGAUUUUGAUAAUUGCAUUUUUGAGUUAUCCUUAAAAUAUGGCCAAGAUUGAAGAGGCAAUUUGGCAGGGCCGGAUCCCCCAGGCAGGUUUCUCGGUUUCCACAAUGCCGAGAACUUAUUAACAAGAUCACUCUUUCUCCCUUCCACCACCCACUUACAAGCAGUUCUCGGGGCUGCUGUGUUGAGGAAUUCAAUUGUGGGUCUCUGGGCUCCUGCUCUGGUCAUCCAGAGACAUUUUGUUGGAAAGGGUAGUGAGAAUACUUCGAUUUGUAACAGGGAAAUGCUGCAGUUUCUCGAAGAGAUGGCAUUUUGGGGGAAUACUGAUAAUCCAAGGGACAUCAGGUUUUAACAGACUCAGGUUCAAAUUCUGGCUACAUCCCUCAGUCUUCUCAUUUGUAAAAUGGGUGAGGUGGUGCAGAUUACUGAGAUGCACAGUGUGGCUACUGCCAUCCCAGGUGAGCGCCGGCCUGAGGCGCGAGGAUUUUACUCUCCAGGACUCUGAUAGGGACGUUGGGAUGUGGGCCUCGGAAGUGAGAUAAAAGCACCAUUUCCAAGGUAGGGCAAGCAGGGGGCCCUGGGCCUGUCUCCCAAUCCUUCUCUCACUAUAUAUUUAGUCCCUGCAGCUGUUUCUCUCAGGUGCAGCUCCUCCAGCACACGUGGUGAUUAAUUUCACUGAAGGGAAAUUGACGCAUUUUCUGAUUACUGCUUCAAAGCCUCCCGAAUUCAGCUGCUGGUAAAAUUAACUCACCAGGGACAAUGGAGCUUUUUCCAAGGUCCAAAUUGUCUUAUUUGCAGAGUUUGUUCUUGGCAUUAAUCCAGCCCAAACAAACCAGGCUGCUCCUCCACCUCCCAGAAGAGGGAGGGCCUUCACUAGCCCAAGGUUGAAAGUAUUUUCCGUGACUCUAAACUGGCGGAUAAAAAUGCACUUCGUUUUAGAUUAUUGUGUUCCUGAAAAGCUGUGGGUGACCUGAAGCAAAUGGCCAGCUGGGCUCCUGGAGCCCCUCCUCUGCAGCUCCUGCUCCAGGCGUGCCUGGGUUCACCAACCAGACGGGCCUGGGAUGUACCAGAAUCCAAUGUGGAUCUCUCCUCCAAUCCCUCCACCUCAAGCCCUUGCCAAUGACCAAGUUCAGCUCCCACGGGCUGUGCACUGACCAUGUGCCAGGCAAGAAGCACAAGACUCGGGACGGGAACCAGGCCUCCUGCUCCACAGCGCCACACCGACCCAGCUUCCAUUUAGGAAGUCAACUGUUGUGACUGCUUGCGAAAGGCACUCCAGUGACAUUAUGGCUCAAUCUGAGUUUUCACACACUGAAACAGAAAUUGGAAGUGACAGACCUACAUUAUGGAUGCAGUUUAUGAAAGAAAGAUGUGAAACUCCAAUCAGCAGACCCAUAUUCAAAAGAAAAGGCCCUGGCCCUACAUCAAAAGAAUGGCAAAUGAAUGUACAUUUAUCUGUUUUAAGUUAAACUAAAAUGUUUAAGGAUGAAUAUUCCAUGGUAGCAACAGCAGGGGCUCAAAGUACAGCUCCACCACUCCCCAGCUAUAUGACGCUGAAGCAAGUCACUUAAUCUCUUGGAGUUUCCAUUCCUACCUCUGGAAAAAGGGAAGAAUCACAGCUAACUCCCUCAAGAUUUCCGCAAGGGAUCAAAUGAGAUGCUGGGUGUAAGCAGCAUGCCCAGUGUCCGCAGGAGGUCACCAGAAGAACCCUUCCUGAGGGCCACAGAGCUGCAGCGCUGAAGCCACUCCCUCCCAGGAGGCCUCAGGCUUCCUCGUCAGUGUUCUGCCUGACUUUGGGGAGAGGAAUUUUUGCUUGUUUUCUUUUUAUGGUGAAAAAAAUCUCAAACAUUUACGAAAGCAGAAAGAAGUGGAUAAUGAACGCCCAAGUGCCCAUCCAGCUUCAGCAAUGAUCAAUUCAUGGCCAUACUUAUCUCUACUACUUUCCUGCCCAUCCUCUCCCCAAGAUGAUUCUGAAACCAACCCUAGAAUCCAAUUGUAUCAUCUAUAUUUUACUAGAUCUCUCUAGAAGAUUUUUUUUUUUAAAAUAAAGACAGCAUCUUACUAUGUUGCUCAGGCUGCUCU